AUUGCAACAACAAGGAAAGGUAUCUACUUCAAUUCAGUCAUGGGGGUUUUGAAAUAUAUGUCUACAUUGGAUUCAAGAGCAUCUUCGCAAUCUUUAAAUUGCCCAGAAGGCCAGAAUCAUAAUUGCAGGCUGUUAUUUGUAGGUAUUGCCAUAUGAAAGCCCGAAGCUUACGUCUCUUGGGAGGAAGCCGUUAAUUAAAGAGUUUUAUGGUAUUUCCGAAUUGAACUAUGUUGAGUCUUGGAUUCGCUGAUUAGACUUACUCGCUGACAUGUAUAGUCAACAAGUCUUCAGCGAGUCCAGUGACUCUUUUUAGCGGGAUGUAUGCUGACAAAAUGUUUGUCAUGGUGGGAAGUAUUCAAACCAUAUGAAGACAAGAGUCACAUGGUGGUUCUUCCAACUGUAACAUACCUUACUUGGUAAA